rnacentral:tRNA from 1 species
GGAGCGGGACUCGGAGCGGGACGCAGCCGCGACCUGCCUACCUGUCUGCAACCAGUCCGGUCUCCAAGACCGAAGGUCGCAGGUUCGAGCUCUGUCGCCCCUGUCCGCUGCU